UAUUUGAAUUUUGAGCUUCGAACCAACCACAUCAAGUUUGUUAACAAACGAAAUACCAAUUUAAGUAGUUUUUAUCAGUGUUUUUAAAAGAAAACAAUGUAUACCAAUCCUUUCAGUCGUACUCACAGCCACGUGCGUCAAGUGAUCGACAAAUUCCUCUACAUUCAUCAUGGCAAAAGCGUCAAAUAUGUCCAUUCUGCAUCAGACAGUUCAAGCAAUGGGCAAUGUUCGUCGAAAAAGCAUGUGAAUAACAAUUGUGCCAGGUUUUCUGUGGUUAAGUGACCCCUCCCAGUUGAGAGCAUUUUGGAAAAUGGAUAUAUUUGAUGGAUGGUUGCCAUCAUAGAUGAUUUAUUGAUGGCCAUUCUUCAGCUAUAACUCGACAAUAGAUAGGAGCCGCAAGGGAGAAGCAAGCUAAACAUUACCAUGCUUCAUACGCUUUUCAAAUUCUACAGAAAAUAAAAUAAAAUACUAAAAUUACGGUUUAUUAUACAUUAUUAUUAGUAAAAAUAAAAUAUUUUUAUGCAUAUAAAA